rnacentral:rRNA from 1 species
GUAGGUGGCAAGCGUUGUCCGGAAUUAUUGGGCGUAAAGCGCGCGCAGGCGGUUCUUUAAGUCUGAUGUGAAACGCCCACGGCUCAACCGUGGAGGGUCAUUGGAAACUGGAGAACUUGAGUACAGAAGAGGAAAGCGGAAUUCCACGUGUAGCGGUGAAAUGCGUAGAGAUGUGGAGGAACACCAGUGGCGAAGGCGGCUUUCUGGUCUGUAACUGACGCUGAGGCGCGAAAGCGUGGGGAGCAAACAGGGAUUAGAUACCCUGGUAGUCCACGCCGUAAACGAUGAGUGCUAAGUGUUAGGGGGGGUUUCCCGGUCCCCCGUUAGUGCUGCAGCUAACGCAUUAAGCACUCCGCCUGGGGAGUACGGCCGCAAGGCUG